AACGAACGCUGGCGGCAUGCCUAACACAUGCAAGUCGAACGAUUGCCUUCGGGUGAUAGUGGCGCACGGGUGCGUAACGCGUGGGAAUCUGCCCUUAGGUUCGGAAUAACAGCUGGAAACGGCUGCUAAUACCGGAUGAUAUCGCGAGAUCAAAGAUUUAUCGCCUGAGGAUGAGCCCGCGUUGGAUUAGGUAGUUGGUGGGGUAAAGGCCUACCAAGCCGACGAUCCAUAGCUGGUCUGAGAGGAUGAUCAGCCACACUGGGACUGAGACACGGCCCAGACUCCUACGGGAGGCAGCAGUGGGGAAUAUUGGACAAUGGGCGCAAGCCUGAUCCAGCAAUGCCGCGUGAGUGAUGAAGGCCCUAGGGUUGUAUAGCUCUUUUACCCGGGAAGAUAAUGACUGUACCGGGAGAAUAAGCCCCGGCUAACUCCGUG
rnacentral:rRNA from 1 species